GCGUGGAGGUCGACGACUCCGUCGCAGACUACGGACCUGUCUGGGUCUCAGCCGCCAAAGACCCCGUCCGGUAGGUGAGUGGCUCACUUUGAGGGCAAGCCUUCUCGGAUCGAGGCUUCUUCAUGGCCGCUCAGAUCGUGAGCGGCCGGGGCUGCUCUCUUUGCGGAGGAUGGCGUCUAAUGAGCGCAGUUGAUUCGAGGAAGUACUAGCCGGACAUCAUGAGUGGCUGUCGAGUAUUCAUCGGGAGACUAAAUCCAGCGGCCAGGGAGAAGGACGUGGAAAGAUUCUUCAAGGGAUAUGGACGGAUAAGAGAUAUUGAUCUGAAAAGAGGCUUUGGUUUUGUGGAAUUUGAGGAUCCGAGGGAUGCAGAUGAUGCUGUGUAUGAGCUUGAUGGAAAAGAACUCUGUAGUGAAAGGGUUACUAUUGAACAUGCUAGGGCUCGGUCACGAGGUGGAAGAGGUAGAGGACGAUACUCUGACCGUUUUAGUAGUCGCAGACCUCGAAAUGAUAGACGGUAUGUGAAGGGUGGAUGGCUGCAUUGAACAAUUAUUGUAGGGGUAGCAGUUAAGGUUCAGGAGUCAUUAGCAGUGAUGAUUCCGGGUCCUGCCGUAUAAUCUGUUCUUCUGUUCCCACGUUAGCCCAUUGUUCUUGAUGAAUCUAUAUGAGUCACAGAACACAAAUCUAUUGACGGAAGUCAUUAGAAUGGCUUGUCAUAUCUGAUGGCUUGAACUUGCCCACAGUUGAACACAAGUGCUGUCAUUGCAUUUCUUCCAUUGUGAAUACGAAUUUUCUUCCUCAGAAAUGCUCCACCUGUAAGAACAGAAAAUCGUCUUAUAGUUGAGAAUUUAUCCUCAAGAGUCAGCUGGCAGGAUCUCAAAGAUUUCAUGAGACAAGCUGGGGAAGUAACGUUUGCGGAUGCACACCGACCUAAAUUAAAUGAAGGGGUGGUUGAGUUUGCCUCUUAUGGUGACUUAAAGAAUGCUAUUGAAAAACUUUCUGGAAAGGAAAUAAAUGGGAGAAAAAUAAAAUUAAUUGAAGGCAGCAAAAGGCACAGGUCAAGAAGCAGGUCUCGAUCCCGGACCAGAAGUUCUUCUAGGUCUCGUAGCCGAUCCCGUUCCCGUAGUCGCAAAUCUUACAGCCGGUCAAGAAGCAGGAGCAGGAGCCGGAGCCGGAGCAAGUCCCGUUCUGUUAGUAGGUCUCCCGUGCCUGAGAAGAGCCAGAAACGUGGUUCUUCAAGUAGAUCUAAGUCUCCAGCAUCUGUGGAUCGCCAGAGGUCCCGGUCCCGAUCAAGGUCCAGAUCAGUUGACAGUGGCAAUUAAACUGUAAAUAACUUGCCCUGGGGGCCUUUUUUUAAAAAACAAAAACCACAAAAAUUCCCAAACCAUACUUGCUAAAAAUUCUGGUAAGUAUGUGCUUUUCUGUGGGGGUGGGAUUUGGAAGGGGGGUUGGGUUGGGCUGGAUAUCUUUGUAGAUGUGGACCACCAAGGGGUUGUUGAAAACUAAUUGUAUUAAAUGUCUUUUGAUAAGCCUUCUGCUCACAUUUUUGUGAAUGUCUGAAGUAUAUAGUUUGUGUAUAUUGACAGAGCUCUUUUAUAACUAAAGCAAAUUUAAUUUUUUUGUACUAGAAAAAAAUUUGAACAUUUUAGUUCCUGGUUAUAAAAAUAUGUUAAUUUAGAAUUAGUUUAAUGCCUCAGUUAAACUAAUUAAUAGCUUUGGACACUUAAAAGAGCUCUAAAUUUGCUUGUACAUAAAGGCUUAAUUUGUUUUCCUUGUUAGGGUCAAGGGUGUCCUCCACUCUUUAACAGCUGCAGGACAGGCACAUUAAAGCAGCUGUUUGUUAUUGAUAAUAAAAUACUAUAAAACUA
rnacentral:sRNA from 1 species